rnacentral:SRP_RNA from 1 species
UCUUUAGACCUGUGCAAUAUGUUUUAAGAAUAACGCUUCAGGGUGGGAACACAGCAGAGCACUCUUUUAAUGUAGGUGCCGCAGGUAUCUGAAGGGGG